UAACGCGUGAGGAACCUGCCUCAAAGAGGGGGACAACAGUUGGAAACGACUGCUAAUACCGCAUAAGCCCACGACCCGGCAUCGGGUUGAGGGAAAAGGAGCAAUCCGCUUUGAGAUGGCCUCGCGUCCGAUUAGCUAGUUGGUGAGGUAACGGCCCACCAAGGCGACGAUCGGUAGCCGGACUGAGAGGUUGAACGGCCACAUUGGGACUGAGACACGGCCCAGACUCCUACGGGAGGCAGCAGUGGGGAAUAUUGCACAAUGGGGGAAACCCUGAUGCAGCGACGCCGCGUGGAGGAAGAAGGUCUUCGGAUUGUAAACUCCUGUUGUUGAGGAAGAUAAUGACGGUACUCAACAAGGAAGUGACGGCUAACUACGUGCCAGCAGCCGCGGUAAAACGUAGGUCACAAGCGUUGUCCGGAAUUACUGGGUGUAAAGGGAGCGCAGGCGGGAAGACAAGUUGGAAGUGAAAUCCAUGGGCUCAACCCAUGAACUGCUUUCAAAACUGUUUUUCUUGAGUAGUGCAGAGGUAGGCGGAAUUCCCGGUGUAGCGGUGGAACGCGUAGAUAUCGGGAGGAACACCAGUGGCGAAGGCGGCCUACUGGGCACCAACUGACGCUGAGGCUCGAAAGUGUGGGUAGCAAACAGGAUUAGAUACCCUGGUAGUCCACACUGUAAACGAUGAUUACUAGGUGU
rnacentral:rRNA from 1 species